rnacentral:rRNA from 1 species
AUUGAACGCUGGCGGCAGGCCUAACACAUGCAAGUCGAGCGGAGCGGCGGACGGGUGAGUAAUUCCUAGGAAUCUGCCUGGUAGAGGGGGAUAACGGCCGGAAAGGGUUUCAAAUACAGCAUAAUACAAAUUGAGCAUAGGUCGGAUUAGCUAGUUUGUGGGGUAAAGGCCUACCAAGGGGACAAACCAUAACUGGUCUGAGAGGAUGAUCAGUCACACUGGAACUGAGACACGGUCCAGACUCCUACGGGAGGCAGCAGUGGGGAAUAUUGGACAAUGGGCGAAAGCCUAAUCCAGCCAUGCCGCGUGUGUGAAGAAGGUCUUCGGAUUGUAAAGCACUUUAAGUUGGGAGGCGUUACCAACAGAAUAAGCACCGGCUAACUUCGUGCCAGCAGCCGCGGUAAUUC